GAUGAACGCUGGCGGCGUGCCUAAUACAUGCAAGUCGAGCGAACAGAUAAGGAGCUUGCUCCUUUGACGUUAGCGGCGGACGGGUGAGUAACACGUGGAUAACCUACCUAUAAGACUGGGAUAACUUCGGGAAACCGGAGCUUAUACCGGAUAACAUAUUGAACCGCAUGGUUCAAUAGUGAAAGGCGGCUUUGCUGUCACUUAUCGCUGGAUCUGCGCCGUAUUAGCUAGUUGGUAAGGUAACGGCUUACCAAGGCGACGAUACGUAGCCGACCUGAGAGGGUGAUCGGCCGCACUGGAGCGGAGACACGGUCCAGACUCCUACGGGAGGGAGCAGUAGGGAAUCUUCCGCAAUGGGCGAGAGCCUUGCGGAGCGACGCGGCGUGAGUGAUAAAGGUCUUCGGAUCGUAAAGCUCUGUUAUCAGGGAAGAACAAAUGUGUAAGUAACUGUGCACAUCGUGACGGUACCUGAUCAGAAAGCCACGGCUAACUACGUG
rnacentral:rRNA from 1 species